rnacentral:rRNA from 1 species
AGUGGCGGACGGGUGAGUAACGCGUGAGAAUCUGCCUUGGGGUCGGGGACAACCACUGGAAACGGUGGCUAAUACCGGAUAAGCCGAUUGGUGAAAGAUUUAUUGCCCGAAGAGGAGCUCGCGUCUGAUUAGCUAGUUGGUGAGGUAAGAGCUCACCAAGGCAGCGAUCAGUAGCUGGUCUGAAAGGACGAUCAGCCACACUGGGACUGAGACACGGCCCAGACUCCUACGGGAGGCAGCAGUGGGGAAUUUUCCGCAAUGGGCGAAAGCCUGACGGAGCAAGACCGCGUGAGGGAGGAAGGCUCUUGGGUUGUAAACCUCUUUUCUCAGGGAAGAAGCUCUGACGGUACCUGAGGAAUCAGCCUCGGCUAACUCCGUGCCAGCAGCCGCGGUAAUACGGAGGAGGCAAGCGUUAUCCGGAAUUAUUGGGCGUAAAGCGUCCGCAGGUGGCGAUUCAAGUCUGCUGUCAAAGCACGGGGCUUAACUCCGUAAAGGCAGUGGAAACUGAAUAGCUAGAGUGCCGUAGGGGUAGAGGGAAUUCCCGGUGUAGCGGUGAAAUGCGUAGAGAUCGGGAAGAACAUCGGUGGCGAAAGCGCUCUACUGGACGGCAACUGACACUCAGGGACGAAAGCUAGGGGAGCGAAUGGGAUUAGAUACCCC